GACGAACGCUGGCGGCGUGCUUAACACAUGCAAGUCGAACGGAAAGGCCCUGCUUUUGUGGGGUGCUCGAGUGGCGAACGGGUGAGUAACACGUGAGUAACCUGCCCUUGACUUUGGUAUAACUUCAGGAAACGGGGGCUAAUACCGGAUAGGAGCUCCUGCUGCAUGGUGGGGGUUGGAAAGUUUCGGCGGUUGGGGAUGGACUCGCGGCUUAUCAGCUUGUUGGUGGGGUAGUGGCUUACCAAGGCUUUGACGGGUAGCCGGCCUGAGAGGGUGACCGGCCACAUUGGGACUGCGAUACGGCCCAGACUCCUACGGGAGGCAGCAGUGGGGAAUAUUGCACAAUGGGCGGAAGCCUGAUGAAGCAACGCCGCGUGCGGGAUGACGGCCUUCGGGUUGUAAACCGCUUUCGCCUGUGACGAAGCGUGAGUGACGGUAAUGGGUAAAGAAGCACCGGCUAACUACGUG
rnacentral:rRNA from 1 species